UAUUUAUUUUUGGUUCCUACUGCUUAUUUAUUUUCUUGUUAGAUUAAUUCUCAAUGUUUUCUACUGCAAUUUAAAAUACUCUUUUAGCUCAUAUACUAUCUUGUGAACUAACGUUUAUUGAAUUUUGUCAUUCAAUUUUUAAAUUUUAAUAGAGCCGUAUUUGUUGAUGUGCUGCAGAACAGAUAGUGCAGAUCAGGCAAAGGAAACCCGUUUUAUUAAGUAUUGUUUGAGUUAACAAACUGACGGGACCUCGUUCGUGGAUUCUCUCUUGAAUGUUUCUUCUCUUAAUAUAUAUUCUUAGAAAUGCGUAAAUAGAACUCGAUGGUUCAAUCUUAUGACUUAAAGUUUAGUUAUUUUCUGUGA